AACGAACGCUGGCGGCAGGCUUAACACAUGCAAGUCGAACGAUGUAGCAAUACAUAGUGGCGCACGGGUGAGUAACGCGUGGGAAUAUACCAAUCAGUGGGGAAUAACUUUGGGAAACUAAAGCUAAUACCGCAUACGCCCGAGAGGGGAAAGAUUUAUCGCUGAUUGAUUAGCCCGCGUGAGAUUAGGUAGUUGGUGGGGUAAUGGCCUACCAAGCCUACGAUCUCUAGCUGGUCUGAGAGGAUGAUCAGCCACACUGGGACUGAGACACGGCCCAGACUCCUACGGGAGGCAGCAGUGGGGAAUAUUGGACAAUGGGCGAAAGCCUGAUCCAGCAAUGCCGCGUGAGUGAUGAAGGCCUUAGGGUUGUAAAGCUCUUUUACCCGGGAUGAUAAUGACAGUACCGGGAGAAUAAGCCCCGGCUAACUCCGUGCCAGCAGCCGCGGUAAU
rnacentral:rRNA from 1 species